UCCUUAUUUUCAAUUCAGGGCUGUUGAAAAAAAAAAAAAAAAAUUCAGGGCUGUUGCAGCAGCAACAGCGACGCGGGCCUCCAGCAGUGGACACGUCAAUCACUGGGGCCAAAACGCCUGCAGUACAUGGAGAGAGCAUCCCUGCACUCGUGUCAAACUACACAACCUGUAAUGUGGCAGACAUGCAGUUAUUUUACACAUUAUUCUACUUGUUGUGUUGUUGUUGUUUUUCUUUUUGACGCAGAUAAACACUGCUGCCCAUGUUGUUGAAAUUCUGAGCCUGCUACUAAACAUCAUCUGAAUAAAUAUUUCUAGAUGUUACUUUUUAUUCACUUGGAUGUUUGCUGACUAAUGCAGACUAAUAUUGCUUAUAGAUUUAGAUGGUUAGUUCCCCUUGGGAGCUUUUAGGCAAAAACUGAAUGAAGCAGCAAUAAAGCAGCACAUUAAAGUUAAGCCCAACUAUUUAUGGAGCCAUUAAGAUGCAUAUAAAGACCAUAAUUAACUUUAAGUAGAAAGGAAGGAGUGUGAAGCGAACCAUUACCACCUUCAUCUUUAUCAAGAAUAAGACGAGGCCACAUUUCAGUAGAUAGGAUGCACUAGUAAAUUGUUUGACCGAACUCCAGUGAUACUUAUCUGGAAACACUGUAAAAACCUUUCCUACAGUCUGAUAAUUAGUGUUAGCCAAAAGUUUAUUUUAUUAUUGGUUACAAAUUUAGCAUUCAAUGUUCAAAACUCACGAUGUGGGGGUAAAAAACAAACUGUGUCUUUAAAUUAGAAAAAGAUUGGAACAGUUGAAGUCUGGCAACUUCACUGGUUUUAUAUAAUUAUGAGUUGUAAAGUAAAAAUUACAAGAAAUUUUGACGCUAUCAGCUAUUGCUCAGGUUUUACAUUGUUAUUAUUAUUCUAGGGGCAGGUAUGUUUUACUAAUGUGGGUACUAGUUUGCAGUCGCGGAAGGAUACCGCCAGUGUAGGAAGCCCGGUUGACGCCGGAGAUUUGCUGUGCCGGUGUGUGAGGUCGCUUCUGAUUGGCCGCUGCAGACCUGCAAUAUUAUACUCCAUGUGUCGGCACCAUCGAUUGGCUACACGGGACCUGCAUUGCACCAGGCAGUGGCACUUGAUGGAAACAGAAUAAGUGGGAAUGACGGUGCAGAAUUUGGCAGAGCAGACGGCAUCGCAGUGUUGUCACAAGAGUCCGCACACACACCACCAAGACCCCCGCCACAGAGUGUGAAGCGUGCCCGACAACAAAGCACCACCCAGCGGACAAAGUGGAGAAAUUACGGACGCUUGUUUACAGCAGCCAGGCGGGUAACAGAAGGACACCAGACACUUCAUAAGGACAAAAAAUGCCUCGUAUGAAGGGUAUGAAUCCUUCAUAAACCAUUUCUAACAAUGAGAUGACAGCGGUGUGGGUUGCUGUAAUGUUUCAUCAGUCGCAGCUUUGUUUCUCAACCUUGAUCUUAAAGACAGAAGACCUUUGGUAUCCUGAGACUAAACUGAUACAAGGCCCCAAAAUGUUUUAAAUCACAGUCAAAGCUUUUUUAACAGCCGAACUUUGAACAAUAAGACUCUUCUCCAUACAACGCCCCCCCCCAAAAAAAAAACACAUGAUGCAACAGCCAUUAUGACUGUAUUUAUAAUUAGAUAUGAUUAAUAUAUCUACAGUUACAGAGUAGCAGUGGAACUGGUCACCAAGACAGAUCAUCCUUUAAAUAUCUUCUUAAAUAUCUGGCAUAGUGCGUCUAUGUAUUCCAGCCGGGCUCCUUGCAGCCCUCUCAUCAGGUCGAGUAACUCUAACUCAAGUUGAGCCGUUUCAUUUGUAAAUCUGCUGGAACUAAUCGUGACUUCUUACUGAAUUUGUUCAAUGUUUCGCCGUGUUUAGCAGGAGAAAUGACCAUUACAUAAGCAGAUAUACAUUUUUCCUGCUACUGCUUUGCAUCUCUCCGACUCUCUCUCUCUCACACAUGCAUCUCUUUUCUUUAAAUUGUUUGCUCCUUGCAGUAUCACAGAGAUGAAAGCAUGAGCUCUGCUGGUUAUUUACUGGGACCGCGUUUUCCAGCUGUUUUGUAUGUAUGCCUUACAGUCCAGUUUUCUCACCUUUCUGUUCUUAAAAAAAAAUAAAAGGGGGGGGCGGGGGUGUAUCUGGGGCUUACCUGAGACAGUCUCAGAACGAUUAGUCAGCCAUUAGGAAAGACUUGGAGCUCUUUAAAAUAUACAAAUACAUUGAUACAAGAUUUGCGAGGCAAAUGAGUGAGCAUUUAAAUAUUCCAACCAACACAAAGACAAUUAAAGGCAUUUCUGAUGCAGCAUUUUGUUCCUUUUUUUCUAUAAUAUGUGGGAACUUCAGGGUUUUUGUUGGUCGCAUUAAAUGGAAACUAUCAAAGUGUGUCGACACCCAGCUGCAUCAGCUCAUAUUGGUGCAUGUGUGUGUGUGUGCGUGCUCACAGGGGCUGUUAAGAAAUACCCAACCCCAGAGUUUGCCUUGAGCUGACAGGGCAAAUGUCUCAUUAUAAAACACGGCACCCAAACGCGUUGCGCUUGAUUUAAAUGUUUUUCUUUUUUUACCCCUUCAAUUCUUCCAUUUGCUGAAUGAGCUGCAGUUGAAAUGCGUGACUGAUUUAAUAAGAGCUUGCGAGGAGGGGGCUGCAGAACAGCGGCAGCAGCUCGGUCCUCACUGGAGCCCAGUGAGUGGUUUGAUGCCCGUGCUGCAUGGGGCCACUUUCUGCUGAGCAGCGAGUUACACAUGGCUCCACAUCAAGAGGAAUUAAAUCAACGCUGCCGCUCUCCGCGUGUCACACUGCAGCAAGGGCAGUUUAGCUGGAUUUACUUAACUUGGAGGCUGAUUUAAAUAGGGGAGGGGGUUGUGCGCACAAACAUAAACAUGCACCAAAACCCACUCUGCCUUCUCUAAACACUUAAAAACUUGGGCAUUAGUGCAGUGACAUUAUGCAGCUCCUGGAGGCGACGGCUGAGUGAAACAUCACAAUCAGGGCGUUUCAUCCCAAACAUUCUGAGAGUCUGUAAAUAGCCAGUGUACUGUGCUGCGUAUGGGGAAAGCACAAAACAAGACUUUGUAUAUUAACCGGACUGUUUAUGACACUCGGGAGAAGUGGAGAAGUCGCGUGAUUCAUGUGAAUAUCUCAAAAUGUUGUAGCCAACCAAUGAAGCCUACAGGAAGUGAAAAGGAAGCAGAAGCUGCUGCUGCAGCAAAGUGAAAGAAAAAGUGAUGAGAACACGCAGUGAUUAGAUAUUAUAUUUUGUCAUUUAUUGUUUUAACACGUAACGGUUACAGGAGAGCGGGAUAAGCCAGACAUGACAUGCACAAAAUAUAUCAAACUCUCUGAGGAGGCGUCUCAGCUGCUGCCUCCUCUCUUUCACACAGCGAUAGAUAGUGAUGGGGUGGGGAGGAUGAGAGAAAACAAAAAUGUUUAAAGGUUAGAGGUAAAGCCCCUCUGGCGUGCCCUCCUGCUUCUUGUACAGAACGUUCUCCUUGGACUUUUUGAAGUCUUCGUUGGUGACUUUCAUACGGCGCUCUCGCAAAGCCAUGA